rnacentral:rRNA from 1 species
GGACUACCGGGGUAUCUAAUCCUGUUUGCUCCCCACGCUUUCGCACCUCAGCGUCAAUAUUGGCCCAGGUCGCCGCCUUCGCCACUGGUGUUCCUCCCGAUAUCUACGAAUUUCACCUCUACACCGGGAAUUCCGCGACCCUCUUCCAUAUUCAAGCUCGCCAGUUUCGAGUGCACUUCCUGGGUUGAGCCCAGGGCUUUCACACCCGACUUAACAAGCCGCCUACGUGCGCUUUACGCCCAAUGAUUCCGAGCAACGUUUGCACCCUCCGUAUUACCGCGGCGGCUGGCAC